GUAAAAGGCAGGGAACUAGGAUGACCUACAGUGGAAUCAGUGACUCCAGCCAGGUGAAUCAGUCUAGCUAAUAACAGCUCAUGUUCGUUAAACAAGUCCUAUGUGCCAAGCAUUUUGCCAUUACUUAGGUACAAUAUUACAUUUAUUCCUCAAAAUAAACCCUUAGAGUUAGGCAAUGUUAUAAUUAUUUUACUGUUGAAGUCUUCUGAGGUUUAAGAAAGUUAAAGUCCUUUGGACGUGAUUACCAGGUAAGAAGUAGAAUUUGGGUUUAAGAAGUCUGAUUCCAGAUCCUAAGCUCUGGCCCCACACCAGGGACUAGAAGGAAAAAGAUGAGACAUCAGUCUGGAGCCAGGCAUCUAAAGAUCUCAUAUACCCAUCUAAAGGGCAUUGAUUCUUUUUAUUUUUAGUUGAUAUGCAAUAAUUGUACAUAUUUAUGGGACACAGAGUGAUAUUUUGAUACAUGUGUACAAUGUAUAAUGAUCCAAUCAGGGUAAUUAGCAUAUCCAUCACCUCAAACAUUUAUCAUUUUUUUGUGUUGCAGACAAUCAAAAUCCUCUCUUUUAGGCUGAGCACAGUGGCUCAUGCCUAUAAUCCCAGCACUUUGGGAGGCCGAGGUGGGAGAUCACGAGGUCAGGAGCUCACAAGGUCAGGAGAUCAAGACCAUCCUGGCCAACAUGGUGAAACCUGUCUCUAUUGAAAUACAAAAAAUUAGCCAGGCAUGGUGGUGCAAGCCUGCAGUCUCAGCUACUCAGGAGGCUGAGACACGGGAAUCUCUUGAACCCAGGAGGUGGAGAUUGCAGUGAGCCAAGAUCAUGCCACUGCACUCCAGCCUGGGCAACAGAGCAAGACUCUGUCUCAAAAAAUAAAAAAAAAAAGAAUCGCUACAGAGCUGCAGAGGCACAAGAGGCUGAGGCACAAGAAUUGCUUAAACUCAGGAGGCAGAGGUUGCAGUAAGCUGAGAUCACUCCACUUCACUCCAGCCUGGGUGACAGGGUAAGACUCUAUCUCAAAAAAAAAAAAACCUCUCUUCCAGCUUUUUGAACAUGUACAUUUAAUUAUUGUUAACCAUAUUCACCCUAAAAUGCCGUAGAACACUAGAACUUAUCCCUCCCAUCUUACUGUAACUUGUAUCUAUUAACCAAUCUUUCCUUUUUCCUCCCUAGAGGACUAGAAUAUUUAUGUAAAAAAUCAUCCAAUCACCUUUUAUUAUUAUUAUAAAUAUUUCAAACAUAUAGAAUAUAAUAGCAAGUAACAGAAUUAACUCACAGGUAUCUACCACUUGGUUCUAUCAUUUCAUCAUAUUUGCUUUAUAUUGUUUCCUUUUUUAACCUAUGUCAUAUUUAAAUUAGCUUUUUGUAGACAGCUUAUAUUUGAGUCUUCUUUUUUAUCCAAUCUGACAAUCUCUGUUUUUUUAGUGGUAUGUUUAGCUCAUUUACAUUUAAUGUAAUUAUUGGUAUGGUUGAAUUUAUGUCUAUUAUUGUAUUAUGUGG
rnacentral:lncRNA from 10 species